rnacentral:rRNA from 1 species
UACGUAGGGAGCAAGCGUUAUCCGGAUUUACUGGGUGUAAAGGGCGUGUAGGCGGGCCUGCAAGUCAGAAGUGAAAUCUGGGGGCUUAACCCCCAAACUGCUUUUGAAACUGCGGGUCUUGAGUGAUGGAGAGGUAGGCGGAAUUCCUAGUGUAGCGGUGAAAUGCGUAGAUAUUAGGAGGAACACCAGUGGCGAAGGCGGCUUACUGGACCGUAACUGACGUUGAGGCUCGAAAGCGUGGGGAGCAAACAGG